rnacentral:rRNA from 1 species
ACGGGAGGCAGCAGUGGGGAAUAUUGCACAAUGGGCGAAAGCCUGAUGCAGCAACGCCGCGUGAGGGACGACGGCCNUUCGGGUUGUAAACCUCUUUUAGCAGGGAAGAAGCGAAAGUGACGGUACCUGCAGAAAAAGCGCCGGCUAACUACGUGCCAGCAGCCGCGGUAAUACGUAGGGCGCAAGCGUUAUCCGGAAUUAUUGGGCGUAAAGAGCUCGUAGGCGGUUUGUCGCGUCUGCUGUGAAAUCCCGAGGCUCAACCUCGGGUCUGCAGUGGGUACGGGCAGACUAGAGUGCGGUAGGGGAGAUUGGAAUUCCUGGUGUAGCGGUGGAAUGCGCAGAUAUCAGGAGGAACACCGAUGGCGAAGGCAGAUCUCUGGGCCGUAACUGACGCUGAGGAGCGAAAGGGUGGGGAGCAAACAGGCUUAGAUACCCUGGUAGUCCACCCCGUAAACGUUGGGAACUAGUUGUGGGGUCCAUUCCACGGAUUCCGUGACGCAGCUAACGCAUUAAGUUCCCCGCCUGGGGAGUACGGCCGCAAGGCUAAAACUCAAAGGAAUUGACGGGGACCCGCACAAGCGGCGGAGCAUGCGGAUUAAUUCGAUGCAACGCGAAGAACCUUACCAAGGCUUGACAUAUACGAGAACGGGCCAGAAAUGGUCAACUCUUUGGACACUCGUAAACAGGUGGUGCAUGGUUGUCGUCAGCUCGUGUCGUGAGAUGUUGGGUUAAGUCCCGCAACGAGCGCAACCCUCGUUCUAUGUUGCCAGCACGUAAUGGUGGGAACUCAUGGGAUACUGCCGGGGUCAACUCGGAGGAAGGUGGGGAUGACGUCAAAUCAUCAUGCCCCUUAUGUCUUGGGCUUCACGCAUGCUACAAUGGCCGGUACAAAGGGCUGCAAUACCGUAAGGUGGAGCGAAUCCCAAAAAGCCGGUCCCAGUUCGGAUUGAGGUCUGCAACUCGACCUCAUGAAGUCGGAGUCGCUAGUAAUCGCAGAUCAGCAACGCUGCGGUGAAUACGUUCCCGGGUCUUGUACACACCGCCCGUCAAGUCAUGAAAGUCGGUAACACCUGAAGCCGGUGGCCCAACCC